rnacentral:rRNA from 1 species
UACGGAGGAUGCGAGCGUUAUCCGGAUUUAUUGGGUUUAAAGGGUGCGUAGGCGGGAUGCCAAGUCAGCGGUAAAAAUGCGGUGCUCAACGCCGUCGAGCCGUUGAAACUGGCGUUCUUGAGUGGGCGAGAAGUAUGCGGAAUGUAUGGUGUAGCGGUGAAAUGCUUAGAGAUCAUACAGAACACCGAUUGCGAAGGCAGCAUGCCGGCUCCACACUGACGCUGAGGCACGAAAGCGUGGGUAUCGAACAGG